UCUCUCUCGUGUAUCGAAGAGGCCACGUUUUGGUAGAAUUUUCGAACACAAAAUGCUGUUGUCAUUAAUCAUGUUUCAUAAAGCAAUCUUCUUUUUCUUCUGCCUAAAAAAAUGAUUCUUUAGACUUUCACAUUUAAUAAUUUAUCAACCCAAGUAAGACUCAAGAGACGUAAUUUAUUUCAUGAGAUGCAAUAAAGAAUGAGAAUCAGGUAGAACACAAUAAUUCUUAUUAAUAAUAACAAGAUGAUGCUACAUAAAAAUGAAAACAAGAAAAAGGAAAACAAAAAAUCACCAUCAAAUCAAUACUCGAGCUAAAUCCGUCGUGAAGAAUACUGCAACAAUAAUAAGUUAACAAGGAACAAAAAUUUGUACUGGUAAAAUUAAAGGUAAAAGAAAAUAGAAAGGUUAUUAGGUAAAGAUGAUAAAUCAGAAGACAAAUGCAAAAGCCAUGGCCACAAAGGAGGCGAGGAAAGUGGGAACAAAGGCGGUUGCGUCGGAAGUGGGGGACGGCGCCGGAGCGUCAGCGGCUUCGACGGCGGAGAGCGCCAUGAUCAUGAAUGCAACGGCGACCGUCUUCAUGCUCUUGGCCUCCAUCUCAACAAGUUUAUCGAAGCUGAAUAGUUACACACACAAGAGAGAAGAGAAGAGAAGAGAGAGUGGUGUAUGCAGCUAAUAAGAGAAUAUGAAUGUAUAUAGAGAGUUUAGGGGUUUAUAUAAUACAUACAAUACAAAGAUGACUUAUUAGCUUUGUGUGAGAGAGAGAGAGAGAGUAGGGGCAGUUGCCCGGGAUGAAAUGUAGAAAAAUUCCUAACGGUUAACACAAAUGAAUUAAGAUAGGAGACCGCCCACUCUUUUUU
rnacentral:lncRNA from 1 species